AUUAAACGCUGGCGGCAUGCCUUACACAUGCAAGUCGAACGGCAGCACGGGGGCAACCCUGGUGGCGAGUGGCGAACGGGUGAGUAAAGCAUCGGAACGUGCCCUGGAGUGGGGGAUAACGUAGCGAAAGUUACGCUAAUACCGCAUAUUCUGUGAGCAGGAAAGCAGGGGAUCGCAAGACCUUGCGCUCUGGGAGCGGCCGAUGUCGGAUUAGCUAGUUGGUGGGGUAAAGGCCUACCAAGGCGACGAUCCGUAGCGGGUCUGAGAGGAUGAUCCGCCACACUGGGACUGAGACACGGCCCAGACUCCUACGGGAGGCAGCAGUGGGGAAUAUUGCGCAAUGGGCGAAAGCCUGACGCAGCCACGCCGCGUGAGCGAUGAAGGCCUUCGGGUCGUAAAGCUCUGUGGGGAGAGACGAAGAAAGCCCGUGAAGAGCGGGCCUUGACGGUAUCUCCUUAGCAAGCACCGGCUAACUCCGUGCCAGCAGCCGCGGUAA
rnacentral:rRNA from 1 species